ACGAAUUUCUGUCAAGCAAACAUGGAAACGUUGAAUGUGGGAGCUUUGCAGUGGAAGGCCAUGGUAAGGGGAUCAAUUCUGAAACAAUGAAGGAUGGAUUCAAGGAGACUGAAAAGUAUGAGUGAGAUAGCACUAAGCUUCUCAACUAUAAUCUGUAAGAUGGAAGAAAAUUCCUACUAGUGUGGAGCUGCCAGGUGUCGAGGUGGUCCAUUAGGACAAUGAGCUGAAAUGAAACUAACGAUCGAGACUUUGUUCACCUGCUGUGAUGAUGUAAUCAAGGGCAAAAAUAAGCGCCGGCUCCCU
rnacentral:lncRNA from 10 species